ACCCUUAAAAUUCUCUCCCACACGUUCUCUCCCUUCUCUGGCAUGUUCUCAGUAACAACAUUCUCUCUCUCCCUUAAAAAAUUUCUCUCUCUCUCUCACGCUUCUCUCGCAAUAUCUCCAUAGCAACGACAAUUUAUCAGAAAUCAAUACAAUUUCUCCAACUGCUCUCAAUCCAUUUAUAAAGAAGAAUGGAGUUGCUCUUCAUAUUCCGGCUCUCCGCUCGCCAUUGUUACAUGUCGUCUGCAUCAGGAAUGUCACCGCCAUUAACACCAUUUUUCCAUCUAAUUUCAUCAAUGAUAUUGUCGAGUCGUGACCUCGCCGAUGCCCAUUGUAGCAGUCCAGCGUUGUUUGACCGCCACCGUCAGAAAGAACAACCACCAGUGUCCCCUCUUUUAUCAGCCAAUCGAUAAAGAAGCUACCAUCAUCAUCUCCUAUUUCUUUUAUAUUUUCUAUUUGAGUUUCUUUAAAUUCUUGAUUAAUUUCUUAAUUUUGCUGAAUACAGGGUUUUGAUGUGUGUUUAUGGGUGAAGUUUUGAAGUUGGUAGGGAAGCUUAUGAACUUUGGUGGAGUUUUAAGGUAUCUCACAUUUAUUUUGAGGUUUUUAUUAUUUUAUUUUUUGAGCUUAUGAACAAGAAGUUUAGAUUUUAUGGUUACUGCAUCCUCUGAAUGUUUGUAAAAAUGAUGGAUAUCUAUAAUGAUUUUCAUUUGUUUGUCACUUGGUAUAGUUUCGAAAGGAUUUUGGUAGUUUGAGCCAAACUUCUGCUUUUUACGUAGUUAAUCCUGAGGUUGGCUCACUACUUCAUUUGGGAAAUAGUCCAUUAGCGAUAUUGUUAUAUUUUUAUUGACUAAUAUAUAUAAUCUUGAACAAAUUGUUAGACUUGGCCAAUUUUAUAAUGUCUGCAGAUUAUAUUAACUCAUGAACACGUUGAUGGUAUUCUUAGUUUGGAUGAUAUACGUGUUGCAACCUUUUAGUGCAACAAAUGACAUUAACCUGACUCCCAUCUUUAUCUCACUCAAGAUUCAAUGGAAAAGUAUAUUGCACUUUGAAAGAGCAAUCCGUUAAAUGCGGUACUGCAUUGGAAGAAGCCAGAGGCAAAUUAAAGGAGUGGAACUUGCAACUGAUUAUAUUAUUAGCCACACUAUGAAAAUUGUUCUUGAAGGCUGCUCUUUCAACCGUGCUUUUCUUUGAAACUCUGCAGAUGAUUUUUUUUUAGAUUUGUAUCGAUAGGUCCGGUUUCCAUGUAGCUGAAACGGCCGACAAGUCUUUGGCCAGACACCUUGAGGAUGACGACAGUCACUCUCUCAUCAUAGAGACAUUAUUCGUUUUGUUUGAGGUAUUGCUACUCUUAGAAUCACUUAUUGUUAAUUCGAAGUAAUAACCGUCUUGCAGCCAAUGGGAGAUACAUCAGAAGAAAAGUUCAUACAAGUUAAAACAACUAAAAGAGUUCGACGUUUAGUGAAAAAAAUGCUUACAGUCAUUUGAUGGAGGUCAUCUUGGCAGUGGACCCUUAUACAAUUUACAACGAGAUAUCGAUAAAACGCUAAUAUCUUGAUUUUAUUUGUUAUGUAAGGAUAUAUAUAUAUAUAUAUGGUUAUCACUUGAGGUAGUUCCUCAAGUUAAUUUAUACGUUCUUUACAGUUUCGGUUAUACUCAUAUUCUUAUAUAGUUUUUCCAACAGAAGUAGAACUGCUUUGAUUGUAACAAUAUAUAAAACAAUUUUCAGUUUGGUUUUUGUUGAAAGCA